rnacentral:rRNA from 13 species
GCGGUCGCCUCCUAAAGAGUAACGGAGGCGUACAAAGGUAAGUUCAAAUUAAAAAAGUUUAAUUGAAGAGCGUAAUAGUAUAUUGCUUGCUUGACUGCAAGAUUGACAAAUCAAGCAGGGACGAAAGUCGGUUAUAGUGAUCCGGUGAUUCUGUGUGGAAAAGAUCAUCGCUCAACGGAUAAAAGGUACGCCGGGGAUAACAGGCUAAUCACUCCCUAGAGACCCUAUCGACGGAGUGGUUUGGCACCUCGAUGUUGGAUUAUCGCAUCCUGGAACUGUAAACGGUUCCAAGGGUUUGGCUGUUCGCCAAGAAAGGCGGUACAUGAUCUGAGUUUAGAACGUUGUAAAACAGUUUGGUCCCUAUCUACCGUGAGUGUUAAAAAUUAAAAGGAGUAAACCCUAGUACGAGAGGACCGGGAAAAGUAAAUCUCUGGUGAAUCGAUUGUCAUUUUAAUGGCAUUGUCGAGUAGCUAUAUUUAUAAUAGAUAAUUGUUGAAAGCAUCUAAACAAGAAACUAACCUUAAAAAAAAUUUUUUAAAAGUCGUAAAAGAUUAUUACGUGAUAGACUUAAUGUAUAAGAGUUGUAAAAUUUUUAGCAAAUAAGUA